rnacentral:rRNA from 1 species
GUGAGGAAUAUUGGACAAUGGAUGGAAAUCUGAUCCAGCCAUGCCGCUUGCAGGAAGACGGCCCUAUGGGUUGUAAACUGCUUUUAUACGGGAGCAAUAAGGUCUAUGCAUAGAUUGAUGAGAGUACCGUAUGAAUAAGCAUCGGAUAACUCCGUGCCAGCAGCCGCGGUAAUACGGAGGAUGCGAGCGUUAUCCGGACUUAUUGGGUUUAAAGUGUGCGUAGGCGGCUUUGUAAGUCAGCGGUGAAAUUUUGCAGAUUAACUGUAAAAGCGCCGUUGAUACUGUGAAGCUAGGAUUUGGUUGCUGUGGGCGGAAUGUGUGGUGUAGCGGUGAAAUGCAUAGAGAUCACACAGAAUAUCGAUUGCGAAGGCAGCUCACAAAGCCAAUAUUGACGCUGAGGCACGAAAGUGUGGGGAUCAAACAGGAUUAGAAACCCCGGUAGUCC